rnacentral:ncRNA from 2 species
GGGAAGCCGGUCCGAAUCCGGCGCUGACCCGCAACCGUAGCCCUCGCUCCGCGAGGGGAGCCGGAACGCC